UGGCGAACGGGUGAGUAACACGUGGGUGAUCUGCCCUGCACUUUGGGAUAAGCCUGGGAAACUGGGCCUAAUACCAGAUAGGACCAUGCUUUGGAUGGUGUGGUGGAAAGUUUUUUCGGUGUGGGAUGAGCUUGCGGCCUAUCAGCUUGUUGGUGGGGUAAUGGCCUACCAAGGCGUCGACGGGUAGCCGGCCUGAGAGGGUGUACGGCCACAUUGGGACUGAGAUACGGCCCAG
rnacentral:rRNA from 1 species